GAGAUGGGACGAUUGCUUGAAUCUGGAAGGUUUAGGCUGCAGUGAGCUGUGAUCACACCACUGCACUCCAGCCUGAGUGACAGAGCAAGA
ensembl:miRNA